AAACAUGCAAGUCGAGCGGCAAGAUUAGUGCUUGCACUAAUCCUAGAGUGGCGGACUGGUGAGUAACGCGUGGGUGACGUACCCUUCUGAUGGGGAUAGCUACUAGAAAUAGUAGAUAAUACCGAAUACGAUUCCGUAAGUUAGAGGUGCGGAAUGAAAGGAGCUUCGGCUCCGCGGAAGGAACGGCCCGCGUACCAUUAGCUAGUUGGUGUGGUAACGGCAUACCAAGGCGAUGAUGGUUACCCGGCCUAAGAGGGUGAUCGGGCACAUUGGGACUGAGAUACGGCCCAGACUCCUACGGGAGGCAGCAGCUAAGAAUAUUCCGCAAUGGA
rnacentral:rRNA from 1 species